rnacentral:lncRNA from 1 species
AGUUGCUAAAGCCAGGCCAGUGAGACAUAGAGCUGAGACAGGCAAUGGGAGCCCUGGAUUAGGGGAAGAGAAGAGGAGAGAGGUCCAUACCGCUGCACAGUGAGGACAAGCUGAUUUCCUGAGGCAUCGAUGAGGCUCAUGGCACUGGCAUGGGAGAGGUUGGUGCAAGAGACCCCAUUGAUUGCCAAGAGCUGGUCCCUCUCUCGGAGUCCUGCUCUGCCAGCCUGGCUCCGUCUUCGAAUCUGAGAUGUUGAAGGAGACACUGUAGACUGAGGAGGAGGAGAAGGAGGAGGAGGAGGAAAAAGCCCAUCAUCAACACACACAUCAAACUCAACUUCAGAGAAAUUAGGAAGCUGGGAAGCCAUGUAAACCAAAAGCAGGAGACACCAGCAGAACCAACGCAGGAAGCCAGGGAAGUGCAGAAGAACAGGGCAGGGGGCAACCCAGGGGGGAAUCUUCACUGUUGCCAGCAACACACACUCCCAGCAGGAGAGGACCCUCAGAGUGAGAACGCAGAGCUGGAGAAGUGAAGAAGGAGCAGGUGGUGCCCGGGGAAGUCCAGGGGUGUGGGAUCUGAGAGCACCCCUUCCCAAGAGAGGAAGGAACACUUGGGAAGGCAGGGCUGAGUCCCUGGAGGCUGUAUCCGGGAAAGGAGGAUGGCAGUAGAAUCUUCCUGAAGCCGAGUGGGUUCUGAGAGGCAGAGGGGCAGUGGUACAGAGGUGAGGCUGACACUUCUGUGCAGGAAGGGCAGGCUCCUGAGGAAGGGAGCCCCGAAUGCUCUCCACUAGAUUCCCAGGGAGCCCCACUCCCUCCACAGGGACCUCGCGCUGACAUCUGGGAAAUGCCAUUCAUACUGGAACCUCCGACACACUGCCAUGAAUGUGAGGGUUUCGUGACUGAUGGGGAGACUGCAGUCAAAUAAAACAGAUACUACACGCACUCGUCGGGGCAGCCGUACUGCAGAAGCACGUUGAUGCACUCCUGGCUGGAGGCCUGCCGGGCGUAGGUCAGCGCUGUGUUCCCGUGGGCAUCUCGGGCCAUGACGUCCACCCCGUACCAGAUCAGGAGCUGUGCCAGGACCACAUUCCCCUUGCGGCAGGCCAGAUGGAGCGCCGUGCAGCCGUCUCCCUCCCCACAGGUCUCGUUCACCUCCUCACGGGAGCCAUGUGCCAGCAGCAGGAUGGCUGUCUGCAGGUCCUCAUCAGCGGUGGCCCGCAGCAGGUGCUGGCCCAGGGACAGCUCAGUGCAGGGUAGUGGGGCCAGAAAGAGCUUCUCCUCAUAUUUGGAACGGAUCCACCGUUCCUUCUCUUCCCUCGUGGACUUUACUGAGGGUUUUGUCUGCCCCUGGCUGCUCCCUUCCCAGAUGCUGUUGGCUAGGUCAUUGCCAAUAGAUGACAUAACCUUCCUGAGCUCAACUGGCCAGUCAUCCAGCUCCAGAGAUCGCACACGGGAAAGGCGGGUGCCAAGACUGCGGUGGAUUCCUGAGCAUUCAAUACACAUGAGGACUCCCAAGUUCAAACUGGCCCACUUAGGAUUCUGGGUCUCAUAGUCCACACAGUGGGCGUUCCCACGCAUGUUUUGGAUCGACUGCAGGGCCAUGGCCUCGCUCUGGCUGGUCAGCUGGGACUUGCUUUUACUGCUCUCGCAUGACUGCAGGCUGGCCAGGAUCUGGCUCUGGAUGGCUUGGACCCAGGCAUCCCGCUCCUCAUACGUCGUGGCUUCAAAGUGCCAUGUUUGGCCAGUGGCAGACACAAUCAUAAAGUUGUUGGUGCUUUUCUUC